GGCCCGUUAGCCAAGUUGGAAAGGCAUAUGACUGUCUAUCAUACAUCAGGGGUUCGAGCCCCCUACGGGUCG
rnacentral:tRNA from 1 species